rnacentral:rRNA from 1 species
CCUACGGGUGGCAGCAGUGAGGAAUAUUGGUCAAUGGCCGCAAGCCUGAACCAGCCAAGUAGCGUGAAGGAUGAAUGCCCUAAGGGUCGUAAACUUCUUUUAUAGGGGAAUAAAGUGACGCACGCGUGCCUUUUUGUGUGUACUUUGUGAAUAAGGAUCGGCUAACUCCGUGCCAGCAGCCGCGGUAAUACGGAGGAUCCGAGCGUUAUCCGGAUUUAUUGGGUUUAAAGGGAGCGUAGAUGGGUUGUUAAGUCAGUUGUGAAAGUUUGGGGCUCAACCGUAAAAUUGCAAUUGAUACUGGCAGCCUUGAGUACAGUUGAGGUAGGCGGAAUUCGUGGUGUAGCGGUGAAAUGCUUAGAUAUCACGAAGAACUCCGAUUGCGAAGGCAGCCUACUAAGCUGCCACUGACAUUGAUGCUCGAAAGUGUGGGGAUCAAACAGGAUUAGAUACCCGAGUAGUC